CUAAGCGUUAUUAUGAAUACAGUUGAUCGUGGGACUCGUGCGCCAAUGGACCGACACAACGACGCGUUUUGGGAUGACAUCAGUUGAAAAAAAAAAGUACAAAAAAAGUAAAAAAAAAAUAAAAAUAAAAGCCGAGGCGAGGCGAGAUCGUUCCCAAUUCCCAUUAUUUUACCAUUCCCGGACCCCGGCGGAGUCUGCAGGCCAGCAGCCGAGGGAAGUGGAACUCGAAGUGCAAGCUCAUGGCUCAUAAUCAAGGGCAAUGAAGGCGAUUUCCUGCUGCCCCAACCUGAUUGCACUGAUUGCCCGAAAGGAGGAGAGCUCCGGACUGGUGACUCGUGCCGCCGAAACAAUGCCGCAAGGAAAAGGUCUCCCAGUUUCAAGUUCCCAGUUUUUCCAAAGCUAGCGCAACUAACUCAGCGCCUCUUGGCCACAGGUAAUUGAACGCUGCUCCCAUUCUACCAACUCCACCUGAGCUACUGUGUAUCCCUGUGCCAGGGCAAUGCACUGGGAGAAAAGCGAUGCCCUUGCAACAGCAUUUUACGUAUUUACAUUUGUAUUACUAUUUACGGUCCACUUCAUUUAAAAUGUUAUACAUUUCAGAUUCAGUAUAUAAUAAAAUGUUGUUUUAAAACGCUGAAAACCACAA